UACGAAGGGGGCUAGCGUUGCUCGGAAUCACUGGGCGUAAAGGGUGCGUAGGCGGGUCUUUAAGUCAGGGGUGAAAUCCUGGAGCUCAACUCCAGAACUGCCUUUGAUACUGAGGAUCUUGAGUUCGGGAGAGGUGAGUGGAACUGCGAGUGUAGAGGUGAAAUGCGUAGAGAUCCGGAGGAACACCAGUGGCGAAGGCGACACGCUGGGCCGUACCUGACGCUAAAGCGCGACAGCAUGGGGAGCAAACGGG
rnacentral:rRNA from 1 species